AAGUCGUAACAAGGUUGCCGUAGGGGAACCUGCGGCAGGAUCACAGCGAGUGGGGGCGGGGCGCUGCGCUGCUGCGGUGGUUGGUAUGGUUGCGGCCGCAAGGUUGUGACUGUAUGACAGCUGCCGCCAGCGGUGGGCCGCCCUGUCCCAGCAAGCCCAUGUGAAGUGUGAUGCUGUGCGGGCGAAGGCAGUGUGCGGUGGCUGCCGUUGAGGCGCCAUCGAGGCGUUGCCGCGCCCGCACGGGAGAAACCAAAAACCAAGCAUGUUCGGGUGUUCCAGUAUGCAUACAAAACAACAAAGAUACAACUCUCAACAAUGGAUCUCUUGGCUCCU
rnacentral:misc_RNA from 1 species